UACGGAGGGGGCUAGCGUUGUUCGGAAUUACUGGGCGUAAAGCGCACGUAGGCGGCUUUGCAAGUUAGAGGUGAAAGCCCGGGGCUCAACUCCGGAAUUGCCUUUAAAACUGCAUCGCUAGAAUUGUGGAGAGGUAAGUGGAAUUCCGAGUGUAGAGGUGAAAUUCGUAGAUAUUCGGAAGAACACCAGUGGCGAAGGCGACUUACUGGACACAUAUUGACGCUGAGGUGCGAAAAGCGUGGGGAGCAAACA
rnacentral:rRNA from 1 species